rnacentral:rRNA from 1 species
AUUGAACGCUGGCGGCAGGCCUAACACAUGCAAGUCGAGCGGUUGACGGGAGCUUGCUCCCUGAUUCAGCGGCGGACGGGUGAGUAAUGCCCAGGAAUCUGCCUAUUAGUGGGGGACAACGUUUCGAAAGGAACGCUAAUACCGCAUACGUCCUACGGGAGAAAGCAGGGGACCUUCGGGCCUUGCGCUAAUAGAUGAGCCUAGGUCGGAUUAGCUUGUUGGUGAGGUAAUGGCUCACCAAGGCGACGAUCCGUAACUGGUCUGAGAGGAUGAUCAGUCACACUGGAACUGAGACACGGUCCAGGCUCCUACGGGAGGCAGCAGUGGGGAAUAUCGGACAAUGGGCGAAAGCCUGAUCCAGCCAUGCCGCGUGUGUGAAGAAGGUCUUCGGAUUGUAAAGCACUUUAAGUUGGGAGGAAGGGUUGUAGAUUAAUACUCUGCAAUUUUGACGUUACCGACAGAAUAAGCACCGGCUAACUCUGUGCCAGCCGCCGCGGUAACAC